UCGCUGCUACCGAUUGAAUGGCUUAGUGAGCUCCAGAGACUGGUGUACUUGGUUGGGUUUCCUUCCUUGUGCAUCUGGGAACUGGAUCAAACUUGAUCAUUUAGAGGAAGCAA
rnacentral:rRNA from 1 species